GCCGGUUUGGCUCAGUGGAUAGAGCGUUGGCCUGCGGACUCAAAGGUCCCGGGUUCGAUUCCAGUCAAGGGCA
rnacentral:tRNA from 1 species